rnacentral:rRNA from 1 species
GGCCUGUAUGAACGGCAAAACGAGGGCCCAACUGUCUCUUUAAACUAAUCAGUAAAAUUGAUCUCCUCGUGCAGAAGCGAGGAUACUAAUAUAAGACGAGAAGACCCUAUGGAGCUUUAGACCUAAACUACCUAAUUACCUCUAACAUAUAAUCAUUAGACUUAGCCAACGUCUUAGGUUGGGGCGACCACGCAGGAAAAAAAAUCCUACGAGAUGAACAAACAAAGAGAUACAUCUCUCUACCAUAAGAAACUUAACAUAAUUGAUCCAAUGUUUUGAUCAACGAACCAAGUUACCCUAGGGAUAACAGCGCAAUCCUUUCUAAGAGUCCAUAUCGACGAAUGGGUUUACGACCUCGAUGUUGGAUCAGGACACCCAAAUGGUGCAGCAGCUAUUAAAGGUUCGUUUGUU